AGAGUUUGAUCAUGGCUCAGAAUCAACGCUGGCGGCGCGCUUAACACAUGCAAGUCGAGCGAGAAAAGGGGAGCAAUCUCCUGAGUACAGCGGCGUACGGGUGAGUAACACGUGGGUAAUCUACCUUUUAGUGGGGAAUAACCCUGGGAAACCGGGGCUAAUACCGCAUAAUCCUGUGAAGGGAAAGCAGCAAUGCGCUGAAAGAGGAGCCCGCGGCCGAUUAGCUAGUUGGUGAGGUAACGGCCCACCAAGGCGACGAUCGGUAGCCGGCCUGAGAGGGCACACGGCCACACUGGCACUGAAACACGGGCCAGACUCCUACGGGAGGCAGCAGUGGGGAAUCUUGCACAAUGGGGGAAACCCUGAUGCAGCGACGCCGCGUGAGCGAUGAAGCCCCUCGGGGUGUAAAGCUCUUUCGGCAGGAACGAUAAUGACGGUACCUGAAGAAGAAGCUGCGGCUAACUACGUGCCAGCAGCCGCGGUAAUACGUAGGCAGCGAGCGUUGUUCGGAAUUACUGGGCGUAAAGAGUGUGUAGGCGGUGCCCUAAGUUCGGUGUGAAAUCUCCCGGCUCAACUGGGAGGGUGCGCCGGAAACUGGGGUGCUCGAACGUGGGAGAGGAAAGCGGAAUUCCUGGUGUAGCGGUGAAAUGCGUAGAUAUCAGGAGGAACACCUGCGGUGUAGACGGCUUUCUGGACCAUUGUUGACGCUGAGACACGAAAGCGUGGGUAGCAAACAGGAUUAGAUACCCUGGUAGUCCACGCCCUAAACGAUGCAUACUUGGUGUCGGCCAUUCAGUUGGUCGGUGCCGGAGCUAACGCGUUAAGUAUGCCGCCUGGGGAGUACGGUCGCA
rnacentral:rRNA from 1 species